rnacentral:rRNA from 1 species
UACGGAGGGGGCUAGCGUUGUCCGAAGUUACUGGGCGUAAAGCGCGCGUAGGCGGGUUGGUAAGUCCGCUGUGAAAGCCCGGAGCUCAACUCCGGAGGUCGGUGGAUACUGCCAGUCUUGAAGGUGCUAGGGGGAGAUGGAAUUACCGGUGUAGCGGUGAAAUGCGUAGAUAUCGGUAGGAACACCAGUGGCGAAGGCGGUCUCCUGGGGCAUUCUUGACGCUGAGGCGCGAAAGCCUGGGGGAGCGAACGGG